AUUGAACGCUGGCGGCAUGCCUUACACAUGCAAGUCGAACGGUAACGCGGGGCAACCUGGCGACGAGUGGCGAACGGGUGAGUAAUGCAUCGGAACGUGCCCAGUAGUGGGGGAUAGCCCGGCGAAAGCCGGAUUAAUACCGCAUACGACCUACGGGUGAAAGCGGGGGACCGGAAGGCCUCGCGCUAUUGGAGCGGCCGAUGUCAGAUUAGGUUGUUGGUGGGGUAAAAGGCUACCAAGCCGACGAUCUGUAGCUGGUCUGAGAGGACGACCAGCCACACUGGGACUGAGACACGGCCCAGACUCCUACGGGAGGCAGCAGUGGGGAAUUUUGGACAAUGGGGGCAACCCUGAUCCAGCCAUGCCGCGUGCGGGAAGAAGGCCCUCGGGUUGUAAACCGCUUUUGUCAGGGAAGAAACGCUCUGGGCUAAUACCCCGGGGUAAUGACGGUACCUGAAGAAUAAGCACCGGCUAACUACGUGCCAGCCGCCGCGGUAACAC
rnacentral:rRNA from 1 species